CAGAAAAUCAGCCUCAGCACUUCCUGUUUCAUCACUUCAAAACAAAACGGACAGAACAGAAGAACACAAAGAGAAGCACAUGCGAGACAAAAGAGACACGCAAAAGAACAGCAGAACUGGACGUGUGACGCAAAACAAGGAGAUUUAAUAGAAAUAACCCAAAGACAUACAGAGAAACAAACUUGAGCAGAAAGAUGACAUCAUGACGAGAGGACACCAGCGCUCAAGAACAGCAGCGGAGAUCACAUGGGUCCAUCAGAGGAGGAGUAUCUCUUACACACAUGACUGUCCUGAACAUACAGUCCAGCUGAACAUCUGACCACAUCUAGUUUCACCUGCUGAACAACAUGUGACGCACAGAAUCCUCUAGAAUCUCACUGGAGAAUUAAGAUUCACUGGAAUAACCAGACCUGCUCAUUACCGUUCAGCAUAUAGCCAAUAUCAAUGACAUCAUGAAUAUGAAUCAGAAUAUUGAAUGACAAUGAAUAUAAAAAUUAUAUGAAAAUGUAUCAGAAAAUGAAUGACAUGAAUGUAUAUGAAUAUGAAUAUGAAUGGCAAUGAAUAUGGCAAUUAAAAUUCACAAAUUCACAAAUAUGAAUCUCCAUCAGAAUAUGAAUAUGCAUCUGAAUGACAUAAUAAAUGACUAUUAAUCACAAUUUGAAUGACAUCAUGUUUCAUCAUGUUCAUAUUCACGAAAUGAGAUCGACGGUUCUUGGUCUCAGACGGUCAUGAGGUUCUCAGCCAA